UUAAGUUAAUAAGGGCGCACGGUGGAUGCCUUGGCACUAGGAGCCGACGAAGGACGUGACAAACGACGAUAUGCCUUGGGUAGCUGUAAGUAAGCGAUGAUCCAGGGAUUUCCGAAUGGGGGAACCCAACAGGUAAUACCUGUUACCUACAUCUGUUAAGGAUGUGAGGAGGAAGACGCAGUGAACUGAAACAUCUAAGUAGCUGCAGGAAGAGAAAGCAAAAGCGAUUGCCUUAGUAGCGGCGAGCGAAACGGCAGAAGGGCAAACCGAAGAGUUUACUCUUCGGGGUUGUAGGACUGCAAUGUGGACUCAAAGAUUAUAGAAGAAUGAUUUGGGAAGAUCAGCCAAAGAGAGUAAUAGCCUCGUAUUUAAAAUAGUCUUUGUACUUAGCAGUAUCCUGAGUACGGCGGGACACGUGAAAUCCCGUCGGAAUCUGGGAGGACCAUCUCCCAACCCUAAAUACUCCCUAGUGACCGAUAGUGAACCAGUACCGUGAGGGAAAGGUGAAAAGCACCCCGGGAGGGGAGUGAAAUAGAACCUGAAACCGUGUGCCUACAACAAGUUCGAGCCCGUUAAUGGGUGAGAGCGUGCCUUUUGUAGAAUGAACCGGCGAGUUACGUUAUGAUGCGAGGUUAAGUUGAAGAGACGGAGCCGUAGGGAAACCGAGUCUGAAUAGGGCGCCUUAGUAUCAUGACGUAGACCCGAAACCAUGUGACCUACCCAUGAGCAGGUUGAAGGUGCGGUAAGACGCACUGGAGGACCGAACCAGGGCACGUUGAAAAGUGCUUGGAUGACUUGUGGGUAGCGGAGAAAUUCCAAACGAACUUGGAGAUAGCUGGUUCUCUCCGAAAUAGCUUUAGGGCUAGCGUCGACAUUAGAGAUUCUUGGAGGUAGAGCACUGUUUGGGUGAGGGGUCCAUCCCGGAUUACCAAUCUCAGAUAAACUCCGAAUGCCAAUGAAUUAUGGUCGGCAGUCAGACUGCGAGUGCUAAGAUCCGUAGUCGAAAGGGAAACAGCCCAGACCACCAGCUAAGGUCCCAAAAUAAUUGUUAAGUGGAAAAGGAUGUGGGGUUGCACAGACAACUAGGAUGUUAGCUUAGAAGCAGCUAUUCAUUCAAAGAGUGCGUAAUAGCUCACUAGUCGAGUGACCCUGCGCCGAAAAUGUACCGGGGCUAAAACAAUUUACCGAAGCUGUGGAUACCUUUAUAGGUAUGGUAGGAGAGCGUUCUAUGUGUGAUGAAGGUAUACCGUGAGGAGUGCUGGAACGCAUAGAAGUGAGAAUGCCGGUAUGAGUAGCGAAAGACAGGUGAGAAUCCUGUCCACCGUAAGACUAAGGUUUCCAGGGGAAGGCUCGUCCGCCCUGGGUUAGUCGGGACCUAAGGAGAGACCGAAAGGUGUAUCCGAUGGACAACAGGUUGAUAUUCCUGUACUAGAGUAUGUAGUGAUGGAGGGACGCAGUAGGCUAACUAAAGCAGACGAUUGGAAGAGUCUGUCUAAGCAGUGAGGUGUGAAUUGAGUCAAAUGCUUAAUUCUAUAACAUUGAGCUGUGAUGGGGAGCGAAGUUUAGUAGCGAAGUUAGUGACGUCACACUGCCAAGAAAAGCUUCUAGCGUUUAAACAUACUCUACCCGUACCGCAAACCGACACAGGUAGUCGAGGCGAGUAGCCUCAGGUGAGCGAGAGAACUCUCGUUAAGGAACUCGGCAAAAUGACCCCGUAACUUCGGGAGAAGGGGUGCUGACUUUAAGUCAGCCGCAGUGAAUAGGCCCAAGCAACUGUUUAUCAAAAACACAGCUCUCUGCUAAAUCGUAAGAUGAUGUAUAGGGGGUGACGCCUGCCCGGUGCUGGAAGGUUAAGAGGAGUGCUUAGCGUAAGCGAAGGUAUGAAUUGAAGCCCCAGUAAACGGCGGCCGUAACUAUAACGGUCCUAAGGUAGCGAAAUUCCUUGUCGGGUAAGUUCCGACCCGCACGAAAGGCGUAAUGAUUUGGGCACUGUCUCAACGAGAGACUCGGUGAAAUUUUAGUACCUGUGAAGAUGCAGGUUACCCGCGACAGGACGGAAAGACCCCAUGGAGCUUUACUGCAGUUUGAUAUUGAGUGUCUGUACCACAUGUACAGGAUAGGUAGGAGUCUAAGAAAUCGGGACGCCAGUUUCGAAGGAGACGCUGUUGGGAUACUACCCUUGUGUUAUGGCCACUCUAACCCAGAUAGGUGAUCCCUAUCGGAGACAGUGUCUGACGGGCAGUUUGACUGGGGCGGUCGCCUCCUAAAAGGUAACGGAGGCGCCCAAAGGUUCCCUCAGAAUGGUUGGAAAUCAUUCGCAGAGUGUAAAGGUAUAAGGGAGCUUGACUGCGAGAGCUACAACUCGAGCAGGGACGAAAGUCGGGCUUAGUGAUCCGGUGGUUCCGUAUGGAAGGGCCAUCGCUCAACGGAUAAAAGCUACCCUGGGGAUAACAGGCUUAUCUCCCCCAAGAGUUCACAUCGACGGGGAGGUUUGGCACCUCGAUGUCGGCUCGUCGCAUCCUGGGGCUGUAGUCGGUCCCAAGGGUUGGGCUGUUCGCCCAUUAAAGCGGCACGCGAGCUGGGUUCAGAACGUCGUGAGACAGUUCGGUCCCUAUCCGUCGCGGGCGUAGGAAAUUUGAGAGGAUCUGCUCCUAGUACGAGAGGACCAGAGUGGACUUACCGCUGGUGUACCAGUUGUCUUGCCAAAGGCAUCGCUGGGUAGCUAUGUAGGGAAGGGAUAAACGCUGAAAGCAUCUAAGUGUGAAACCCACCUCAAGAUGAGAUUUCCCAUGAUUAUAUAUCAGUAAGAGCCCUGAGAGAUGAUCAGGUAGAUAGGUUAGAAGUGGAAGUGUGGCGACACAUGUAGCGGACUAAUACUAAUAGCUCGAGGACUUAUCCAA
rnacentral:rRNA from 1 species